GUAAAAUUUAAAGGUAGUUUAAUAAAAUUUAAACUUUGGGUGUUUAAGAUAAGAGGAAUCUUC
rnacentral:tRNA from 1 species